rnacentral:rRNA from 1 species
AGAGUUUGAUCCUGGCUCAGGAUGAACGCUAGCGGCAGGCUUAAUACAUGCAAGUCGAGGGGCAACAGGGGUAGCAAUACCUGCUGGCGACCGGCAAACGGGUGUGGAACACGUACAGAACCUUCCUUUAAGCGGGGGAUAGCCCGGAGAAAUCCGGAUUAAUACCCCAUAGUAUUGUUGUGUGGCAUCACACGAUAAUUAAAGAUUUAUCACUUAAAGAUGGCUGUGCGGCUGAUUAGGUAGUUGGUGUAGGUAAAGGCUCACCAAGCCAGCGAUCAGUAACUGGUGUGAGAGCACGACCAGUCACACGGGCACUGAGACACGGGCCCGACUCCUACGGGAGGCAGCAGUAAGGAAUAUUGGUCAAUGGAGGUAACUCUGAACCAGCCAUGCCGCGUGAAGGAUGAAGGUCCUCUGGAUUGUAAACUUCUUUUAUGUGGGAAGAAAUGCCUGUUUUAUAAUAGGUUUGACGGUACCAUAGGAAUAAGCACCGGCUAACUCCGUGCCAGCAGCCGCGGUAAUACGGAGGGUGCGAGCGUUAUCCGGAUUCACUGGGUUUAAAGGGUGCGUAGGUGGGAAUGUAAGUCAGUGGUGAAAUCUCUGAGCUUAACUCAGAAACUGCCAUUGAUACUAUGUUUCUUGAAUUUUCUGGAGGUCAGCGGAAUAUGUCAUGUAGCGGUGAAAUGCUUAGAUAUGACAUAGAACACCAAUUGCGAAGGCAGCUGGCUACAGGGAUAUUGACACUGAGGCACGAAAGCGUGGGGAUCAAACAGGAUUAGAUACCCCCGUAGUCC